AUACCAUUUGGGUGGACACGGACGUAAAAAGCUAUGCCCGUGGUUAGGUAUUUAGCUUUGUACUCCGAUGCCAUUCAAAUGGUUG
rfam:Caenorhabditis remanei strain PB4641 contig431.1, whole genome shotgun sequence.